rnacentral:lncRNA from 10 species
UAGUAUAUUGAAAGGAGAUUUGCACUCCCAUGUUUAUUUGCACAGUUGCCAAGAUAUGCAAACAACCUAAAUGUCCAUUGAUAAAUGAAUAAAGAAAAUGUGAUAUAUAUAUACACACACAUACACAUGUACAUAUAUACACAUAUGCAAUGGACAUUAUGAGAGCGAUGGCAGCCAGCUAGGGCAACAUGUGUUCAAAUCUAGAAAUGUUGGUCUGAAGAUGUAUAAAAUUCCGUUUCUGGAGUAAAGGGCAAAGUCUAUGCCUUACACCAUUUCUUUGUCUUCCAGUGUGGAGCCCACACUACUGCUAGAUAGAGCCAUAGCUCUUCAUGUGGGGUAGGGGUGAGACAAUGCAUCAGAAUCACACUGGGAGCUUUUGAAAACUGCACACACCAGUUAUAUGGUGAUGAAUUUCCAAGGGUGUCACUCAGGAAAGUGACAAUUGCAAUGCUGAUGGGCCUGGGAAGGCAGACUUCUCAUUGUCUAGAACUGCA